AAACACCAAACCCAAGUGAUUAUGUGUUCCUUCAAAACAUGGUUCAAUUUGUUCAUCAUUUUCCUUGCCUCGGCUGCAACACCCAUCUUCUCAUUAACAGAUUCCCCAAAUCAACUCUCCACAAACUUUCUAGAAAUUGCCAAGAAACCUGAAGUAUUUGAUUGGAUGGUGAAAAUCAGAAGGAAGAUUCAUGAGAAUCCAGAAUUGGGUUAUGAGGAAUUUGAGACCAGUAAACUCAUUAGAGAGGAAUUGGAUAAACUGGGUGUCCCCUAUAAACACCCAGUUGCUGUCACUGGUAUUAUUGGCUUCAUUGGGACAGGAAAGUCACCUUUUGUUGCAAUAAGAACUGAUAUGGAUGCACUUCCCAUCCAGGUUUCAUGAGUUUUAUGUGUUUUUUUUUUUUUUUCAUAUGCUUGAACCAAGAUUGACUUUUUUUUAUGAUAGUUUUAUGCGUUGGUUCUCUUGGUUAGGUGGUAAGGGUAAGACAACAAAAGAGUUAUGUUUGCCCUUAAUUAAUUAAUUCCUAAGUUUAUUAACACUUUUUUGUAUAUUCCAUUGAUUUGAUCUCAGGAAAUGGUGGAGUGGGAGCACAAGAGUAAAGUACCUGGAAAGAUGCACGCAUGUGGUCAUGAUGCUCAUGUCGCUAUGCUUCUUGGGGCAGCAAAGAUUCUCAAACAACAUGAAAAACAGUUGCAGGUUUUACUUACUUUUUAUAUUGCCUUCUUUAUUUCCAUUUCCUUUCUAU
rnacentral:lncRNA from 1 species